rnacentral:tRNA from 1 species
UGCGGGGUGGUGUAAUGGUAGCACACGGCCCUUUGGAGGCCAGAGUUUGGGUUCGAGUCCCAGCCCCGCAG